rnacentral:rRNA from 1 species
GGGGCCUCGUGUUCUGCUCACGGGUAGAACGCCCACCCUUGUAUAAUAUAUCUUGUUGCUUUGGCAGGCCGCCCUCGGGCACCGGCUCCGGCUGGAUCGUGCCUGCCAGAGGACCCCAAACUCUGAAUGUUAGUGUCGUCUGAGUACUAUAUAAUAGUUAAAACUUUCAACAACGGAUCUCUUGGUUCUGGCAUCGAUGAAGAACGCAGCGAAAUGCGAUAAGUAAUGUGAAUUGCAGAAUUCAGUGAAUCAUCGAAUCUUUGAACGCACAUUGCGCCCCGUGGUAUUCCGCGGGGCAUGCCUGUUCGAGCGUCAUUUAAACCAAUCCAGCUUGCUGGGUCUUGGGCUUCGCCUCCGGGCGGGCCUUAAAAUCAGUGGCGGCGCCUCUCGGCUCUAAGCGUAGUAAUACUCCUCGCUACAGAGUCCCGGGUGGAUGCUUGCCAACAACCCCCAAUUUUAUCAGGUUGACCUCGGAUCAGGUAGGGAUACCCGCUGAACUUAAGCAUAUCAAAA